rnacentral:lncRNA from 1 species
AUUUGUUAAGAAUCAUGAACAUUUGCAGUCACUGUUUCUGAUGGGUGUUCAUUGUCAACAAGUGAAUAGAUUUCUGCAUCUCUCCGAAAUAGUCUUCGAUGUUUUUGAUGAUGAGGGAGUGUUCUUUGCGACAGCCAUUUCCUUUGGUCACUUAACUGUGUGGGCCGCACGGUCUCGGUUCUGUCCCUUCACGCUCCAUGACAACCCUUUACCUGCAUUUUAAAUUGAUAGAUUUUCAGCUUCUCAGUGGGACACACUAAGUUACGAAGUACCUGGUUACCUUAAAAAGGAACACUUAACUUCCAUUUAAAAGCUCUGUGAUCAGCAGUAGAAGAAAUAAAUGAUCCGUUCACCAGCCAUUCUAAUCAGGGGUAGCAUUAAAAGCUUUUUCACCUUGCUAUUUUGAAGACGUUUAUUUCUUUAAACAAGUGAUUCCAAUUAAUAAA